rnacentral:rRNA from 1 species
CGAACGUUAGCGGCGCGCUUAACACAUGCAAGUCGUACGAGAACGCUCCCUUCGGGGAGUUAUUAAAGUGGCGCACGGGUGAGUAACACGUGGGUAUCUACCUAACGGCGGGGGACAACACCUGGAAACGGGUGCUAAUACCGCAUACGUCGGCUUCGGCCGGGAAAGAUGGCCUCUUCUUGAAAGCUAUCACCGUUAGAUGAGUCCGCGUCCCAUCAGCUUGUUGGUAGGGUAAAAGCCUACCAAGGCUACGACGGGUAGCUGGUCUGAGAGGAUGAUCAGUCACACUGGAACUGAGACACGGUCCAGACUCCUACGGGAGGCAGCAGUGGGGAAUAUUGCGCAAUGGGCGAAAGCCUGACGCAGCGACGCCGCGUGGGUGAUGAAGGAUUUCGGUUCGUAAAGCCCUGUGGGAGAAGGAAGAACAAGUUGUAGGCUAAUACCCUAUGGCCCUGACGGUACUUCUCCAGAAAGCACCGGCUAACUCC